CCUACGGGAGGCAGCAGUGGGGAAUAUUGGACAAUGGGGGCAACCCUGAUCCAGCCAUGCCGCGUGUGUGAAGAAGGCCCUCGGGUUGUAAAGCACUUUCAGUGAGGAAGAACGCCUGGUGGUUAAUACCCAUCAGGAAAGACAUCACUCACAGAAGAAGCACCGGCUAACUCCGUGCCAGCAGCCGCGGUAAUACGGAGGGUGCGAGCGUUAAUCGGAAUUACUGGGCGUAAAGCGCGCGUAGGUGGCUUGAUAAGCCGGUUGUGAAAGCCCCGGGCUCAACCUGGGAACGGCAUCCGGAACUGUCAAGCUAGAGUGCAGGAGAGGAAGGUAGAAUUCCCGGUGUAGCGGUGAAAUGCGUAGAGAUCGGGAGGAAUACCAGUGGCGAAGGCGGCCUUCUGGACUGACACUGACACUGAGGUGCGAAAGCGUGGGUUGCAAACAGGAUUAGAUACCCCAGUAGUC
rnacentral:rRNA from 1 species